rnacentral:rRNA from 1 species
AAGGGCACCACAAGAACGCGUGGAGCAUGUGGCUUAAUUUGACUCAACGCGGGAAAUCUUACCAGGUCCGAACAUACUGAGGAUUGACAGGUUGCUAUAGGAUAUUUUUUAUAUAAUAUUUUAUUAUAUUAUAUUAAAAAUUCAAUCUUAUAUUAAAUAUGCUAGUCCUUUCAUGAUUGUGUGAUAGGUGGUGCAUGGCCGUUCUUAGUUCGUGGAGUGAUCUGUCUGCUUAAUUGCGUUUCACAAUAAAUGGACAUCGAAGAGAUGCUUUGCGCACACAGAGUUUGCAGUAUUGUUUAAACUUCGGUUUGGGCAAUACUCCUUUGUUGAUGCGCGGUAUCUCUACAAACAUGUCCUGAAGGCAACGAACGUGACCG